UCAAAUUAAGGUAAAAAAAGGUUAUUGUUGUUGUUCUGUACAGGGUAACCGAUUACUUGAAUCAUGUAACUGGUUACCUGGGCCAAAAAUGACAUGGGGAGCUUGCGUUUACACUGAGGUAACGGAUUACCUGAAUCAUGUAACCGGUUAUCUGGACUAAAAAUGGCCUGGAAGCUGCUUUUAGAAGGUGGUGUAACCGGUUACUUGAAUCAAGGUAACCGGUUACCUGGGCCGAAAAAUGACUUUUUUCCUUAUAUUUUUUGUUUUUUGUUUUGUUUCACAUCUUUCUCUUGAAGUUUUAUCUAGAAGAAACCUCAACUUUUUAGAUGUGAACAUCAUGCCUUGAGUUUGUGUAAUAUAUCUUUGCUUAUGAAUUUUUAUGCAAUUAUGGUGAUGGAACAAUGAAUGGAUGUAUGUGUAGUAGGGUCAUGGAUCAGAUGAAAAUUGUAUGGGGUGGGUGAAUUUGGGGGUAUGACAAUAUGCUUUUAUACUUAAUAAUACACCAUAAUCUACAAACUCAAGGAAUUAGAUUCAUCUGUGAAGCUUCAAGAUCCUCUGGCCAUGUUAAGGUGUACCUAAGCCACUUCAACCCUAAUCUUCAUCCUCAAGCACCCACAAAGCUUGGAGGAUCACUCAAGUCAUC
rnacentral:lncRNA from 1 species